rnacentral:tRNA from 1 species
CGCUUCUGGCGCGACGAGGACUGGCGCUUCAUGAACUACGGCUUCGUGCCGGAGGGCGUUCCGUUUCCCCUGAAGCCC